rnacentral:rRNA from 1 species
UACGUAGGGUGCAAGCGUUAAUCGGAAUUACUGGGCGUAAAGCGUGCGCAGGCGGUGAUGUAAGACAGAUGUGAAAUCCCCGGGCUCAACCUGGGAACUGCAUUUGUGACUGCAUCGCUGGAGUGCGGGAGAGGGGGAUGGAAUUCCGCGUGUAGCAGUGAAAUGCGUAGAUAUGCGGAGGAACACCGAUGGCGAAGGCAAGCCCCUGGGCCUGCACUGACGCUCAUGCACGAAAGCGUGGGGAGCAAACAGG